ACGGGAGGCAGCAGUGAGGAAUAUUGGUCAAUGGGCGCGAGCCUGAACCAGCCAAGUAGCGUGAAGGAUGACUGCCCUAUGGGUUGUAAACUUCUUUUGUUCGGGAAUAAAGUCAGGGACGUGUCCCUGUUUGUAUGUACCGUUCGAAUAAGCAUCGGCUAAUUCCGUGCCAGCAGCCGCGGUAAUACGGAAGAUGCGAGCGUUAUCCGGAUUUAUUGGGUUUAAAGGGAGCGUAGGCGGGCUGUUAAGUCAGCGGUUAAAUGUCAUGGCCCAACCUUGGCAUGCCGUUGAAACUGGCGGUCUUGAAUACACACAAGGAAGGUGGAAUUCGUCGUGUAGCGGUGAAAUGCUUAGAUAUGACGAAGAACUCCGAUUGCGAAGGCAGCCUUCUGGGGUGCGAUUGACGCUGAGGCUCGAAAGUGCGGGAAUCAAACAGGAUUAGAUACCCUGGUA
rnacentral:rRNA from 1 species